rnacentral:rRNA from 1 species
GACGAACGCUGGCGGCGUGCUUAACACAUGCAAGUCGAACGGAAAGGCCCUGCUUUUGUGGGGUGCUCGAGUGGCGAACGGGUGAGUAACACGUGAGUAACCUGCCCUUGACUUUGGGAUAACUUCAGGAAGCUGGGGCUAAUACCGGAUAGGAGCUCCUGCUGCAUGGUGGGGGUUGGAAAGUUUCGGCGGUUGGGGAUGGACUCGCGGCUUAUCAGCUUGUUGGGGGGGUAGUGGCUUACGAAGGCUUUGACGGGUAGCCGGCCUGAGAGGGUGACCGGCCACAUUGGGACUGAGAUACGGCCCAGACUCGUACGGGAGGCAGCAGUGGGGAAUAUUGCACAAUGGGCGGAAGCCUGAUGCAGCAACGCCGCGUGCGGGAUGACGGCCUUCGGGUUGUAAACCGCUUUCGCCUGUGACGAAGCGUGAGUGACGGUAAUGGGUAAAGAAGCACCGGCUAACUACGUG